rnacentral:rRNA from 1 species
GACAGAGGAUGCAAGCGUUAUCCGGAAUGAUUGGGCGUAAAGCGUGCGCAGGCGGUGAUGUAAGACCGAUGUGAAAUCCCCGGGCUUAACCUGGGAACUGCAUUGGUGACUGCAUUGCUGGAGUAUGGCAGAGGGGGGUGGAAUUCCACGUGUAGCAGUGAAAUGCGUAGAGAUGUGGAGGAACACCGAUGGCGAAGGCAGCCCCCUGGGCCAAUACUGACGCUCAUGCACGAAAGCGUGGGGAGCAAACAGG